AUCAAAGCAAGUCACAAAGCCUGCCCUGAGUCAAGGGAGAGGAAAUGGCUUCUAUUUCUCUAAAGGAGGAACAAUAUGCACACAUAGGGAGAGAUGAAUCAACAGUGGCCAUCUUUGGAGACUAUCUACUGCAGAUUUUAUAAGGGCGCAGAUGAAGGACGCUCUUUUCUGCUUCAGGUGAGGUGGGGAGGAGCAGAUGUUUUGCCUCUAGUGAGACAAUAAUUUACUUCCCUAUUAUUGUUUGACUUUGCCUUGUUUCUGCCUAUGAAUUACUAACAGAGGCUUGCAGCACUAUCUAUGGGGCCUGAAACAUACAAUAAGGGGCCAGAAGGCCUUGAGAGAGCUGAAAAAGAAAUCAUCACCCUAGCCUCACCCAGUCACCUGUCUCCAGGCAAAAUAAUUCCCUGUCCUUCAUGAUGAUUCGGAGAAGACCAGCCCCACUCAGCUGCUGUUGCCAACCAACCAUAGUUCUUGUUACCCUGGGCCACAAGUGCCUUAUCCACUAGAUUGAGAAAGUUAAUGCCAGAGGGAAGUGAGAAACUAACUAUGGAAGAGUGGACCCAUGUUGCAAAAACAAAGUUCUAGGGAAAGACGUGAACAAAGAUGGGUGAGUAUGAAUGGGGUCUGACUGGAACAUGGCAGAGAAGAAAUUCAACUAUGCAAUGAGAUAAAGCAAAGAUUCUAAUGAAAGACUGAUGUGGUCAUAAACAAACAAACAAACAAACAAAAAACAGGUGCCCAAUGAAUACUUCUAACUGAAAAAAAAUCUGAAGAUGCUGGUCAGAGGAUCCUCAGGAGGGAAAAAACCUGACUUUCCUUGGUAAGGGCCUGUGGAGCAAGUAAUUGCAGCUUGAACCAUGGGGUCUCCUUGGAGCUGCGGGCACCAAGCAUCAGAUCUGAACACAGAAGCUGGGCCAGUUUGUUAAGUAGGGUGCGGCAGAGACUGUUAGUUGCCUAUCCAAUAUCCAGUCUCCUCUUUUUCCUUGGUCACAUAACCCAGAUUUUAAUCUGGGUGGCAGUGUGCUCAGCUGAAAGACUACACUUGGAAGCCACAUUUGCAGCCUGAGGGCCAGUGAGACAUAAGCAGAAGUUGUUGGGUAGUCUUCUGUGGACUCCUUAAGAGGGAAUAGACUACUCACAGACUCCUUUUUCUCCUUCUCCCUUCCUUCCAUGCCUUUCUGGAACAGGAAGUUUAACAUGAUGAUUGGCGCUCUAGCUGUCACAUUGGACCAUGAAGUUAUGUUGUUUUUUUUUUUAAUUAAUUUUUAGUUUUAUUUCAGUGGUUUUGGGGGUAUAGGUGGUUUUUGAUUCCACG
rnacentral:lncRNA from 10 species